rnacentral:lncRNA from 1 species
CUCUCCCCUCUUUAUUUUUAGUGCAUGCCCUUAAGUCUUUCACGCCGUAAUUCCAAUGCCUCUUUCUUUCUCUCACACUGAAGUCCAUGUGCUCUCUUUCUUUCAUGCCUAAUUCUAGCGCCCCUUGAUCUCCAUUAUAAAUCUCAACCCUCCAUUAUUCAUGGUGCCUCACAUAUUUGAAAGAAUAAUAUCCUACAAGCCAAUCGCAUGUAUGA